rnacentral:rRNA from 1 species
AGAAUCAACGCUGGCGGCGUGCCUAACACAUGCAAGUCGAACGAGAAAGGGGAGCAAUCCCUGAGUACAGUGGCGACCGGGUGAGUAACACGUGACUAACCUACCCUCGAGUGUGGAAUAACAUCGGGAACCGAUGCUAAUACCGCAUAACAUCGCAAGAUCAAAGGAGUAAUCCGCUUGAGGAGGGGGUCGGCGGCUGAUUAGCUAGUUGGCGGGGUAAGUGGCCCACCAAGGCGAAGAUCGGUAUCCGGCCUGAGAGGGCGCACGGACACACUGGAACUGAAACACGGUCCAGACUCCUACGGGAGGCAGCAGUGGGGAAUUUUGCGCAAUGGGGGGAAACCCUGACGCAGCAACGCCGCGUGGAGGAUGAAGCCCCUUGGGGCGUAAACUCCUUUCGACCAAGACGAUAAUGACGGUACUGGUGGAAGAAGCACCGGCUAACUCUGUGCCCAGCAGCCGC